CCCUCUUUUAUGCUCUAACAAGCCUUAAGAAAACAUGGCUCAGUUUCGCUUUCCUCUCUCUGUUCUAUUCAUUGUUUGUCUUGUUAGUCUUUUUUUGGGUAUUUUUUUUUGUUUUGUAAAUAUGACAGGUUUAUACACCAUUUAAAUAACGAGAGAGUGAUUUCACGUAUGUUAAGAUAAAGUUUCUUGGCUUCUAAAGUGUGACAUAAGAGCAUCAUGUCCUUGAACCGGCCAAAAGACCAUAGAUUCGUGUGUCCGUGUUACAGAGUAAUAAGGUGAAGGUGGGUUGGUCACGAGGCCUGGAAGAGAUGAACAAUGGUGUUGAAGUAAAGACGGUGCAGGGCCCAGAAGCGAUGAAUAAUGGUGCUGAAGAAAACGUGGUGCUGAGCUCUAGGGAAGGUUGCUAUCCGGCUUCGAAUUACCCCUGUUGGUGGUGUUCCAUUAAUGGAAAUUGUUAUACAUCUGAAAAAUACUGCAAGAUCUAUUGCCAUAAAUAAGUACAAGUGCACUUGUCUUGGCUUUGGUGCAUGGAUAUUUAAAAAUAAAGCCAUGUGGGCCUCUCUUUUAUCUCCUAACAAUAAUGCUGAUAAUAAUAAAAUGACUCCUGCUUCUUGUUCUUCUCCAUA